rnacentral:rRNA from 1 species
AUUGAACGCUGGCGGCAGGCCUAACACAUGCAAGUCGAACGGUAACAGGAAGAAGCUUGCUUCUUUGCUGACGAGUGGCGGACGGGUGAGUAAUGUCUGGGAAACUGCCUGAUGGAGGGGGAUAACUACUGGAAACGGUAGCUAAUACCGCAUAACGUCGCAAGACCAAAAAGGGGGACCUUCGGGCCUCUUGCCAUCGGAUGUGCCCAGAUGGGAUUAGCUAGUAGGUGGGGUAACGGCUCACCUAGGCGACGAUCCCUAGCUGGUCUGAGAGGAUGACCAGCCGCACUGGAACUGAGACACGGUCCAGACUCCUACGGGAGGCAGCAGUGGGGAAUAUUGCACAAUGGGCGCAAGCCUGAUGCAGCCAUGCCGCGUGUAUGAAGAAGGCCUUCGGGUUGUAAAGUACUUUCAGCGGGGAGGAAGGGAGUAAAGUUAAUACCUUGGCUCAUUGACGUUACCCGCAGAAGAAGCACCGGCUAACUCCGUG